rnacentral:misc_RNA from 1 species
GAAACCUCACCCCACUUGGGUUUUUGCCUGAGCGGUGGUGUAUUGGGUGUUGCCUUGCCAAAGGCUCGCCUUAAAAACAUAAGCACCUUGGAUGUAAUACGUUUCAUCCUUCUGGGUGGCUGAUAACCCCACAUAUUCAUGA